rnacentral:rRNA from 1 species
AACGCUGGCGGCGUGCCUAACACAUGCAAGUCGAACGAAGCUCUGCGAUACAAGACUUCGGUCAAGUUGAACGGAUGACUUAGUGGCAAACGGGUGAGUAACGCGUAGGCAACCUGCCCUUCAGAUGGGGACAACACCUCGAAAGGGGUGCUAAUACCGAAUGACGUUUCCUGGUCGCAUGACCUGGAAACCAAAGGCCGGGGCAACCGGUCACUGAAGGAUGGGCCUGCGUCUGAUUAGCUAGUUGGUGGGGUAACGGCCCACCAAGGCGACGAUCAGUAGCCGGUCUGAGAGGAUGAACGGCCACAUUGGGACUGAGACACGGCCCAAACUCCUACGGGAGGCAGCAGUGGGGAAUCUUCCGCAAUGGGCGCAAGCCUGACGGAGCAACGCCGCGUGAGUGAAGAAGGUUUUCGGAUCGUAAAGCUCUGUUGAGAGGGACGAGAGAUAUAAUCAGGAAAUGGGUUAUAGAGGACGGUACCUUUCGAGGAAGCCACGGCUAACUACGUG